GACGUAGGGCGCGAGCGUUGUCCGGAUUUAUUGGGCGUAAAGAGCUCGUAGGCGGCUUGUCGCGUCGUCCGUGAAAACCCACAGCUCAACUGUGGGCUUGCGGUCGAUACGGGCAGGCUAGAGUUCGGUAGGGGAGACUGGAAUUCCUGGUGUAGCGGUGAAAUGCGCAGAUAUCAGGAGGAACACCGGUGGCGAAGGCGGGUCUCUGGGCCGAUACUGACGCUGAGGAGCGAGAGCGUGGGGAGCGAACAGG
rnacentral:rRNA from 1 species